AAGAAAAUUGUUUGACACAGAGACGUUGAGCUACC
rnacentral:sRNA from 1 species